UACGGAGGGUGCGAGCGUUGUCCGGAAUCAUUGGGCGUAAAGGGCGCGUAGGUGGCGGGACAAGCGUGCGGUGAAAGCCUGGGGCUCAACCCCGGGUCGGCCGUGCGAACUGUUUUGCUUGAGCACUGUAGAGGCAGGCGGAAUUCCUGGUGUAGCGGUGAAAUGCGCAGAUAUCAGGAGGAACACCAAUGGCGAAGGCAGCUCGCUGGAACGGUACUGACGCUGAGGCGCGAAAGCGUGGGGAGCGAACAGG
rnacentral:rRNA from 1 species